GCGCAGCAGUCGCGCAACCUCUGCAAUACACGAAAGCGUGACAGGGCUACCCCGAGUGCCGUCCGCUGAGGAUGGCUUUUCUCCGGUGUAGUAAGCCGGAGGAAUAAGGAGAGGGCAAGUCUGGUGUCAGCCGCCGCGGUAAUACCAGCUCUCCGAGUGGUAGGGACGAUUAUUGGGCCUAAAGCGUCCGUAGCCGGCCAAGCAAGUUUCCCGUUAAAUCCAGCGAUCCAAUCGUUGGACUGCGGGAAAUACUGUUUGGCUAGGGGGCGAGAGAGGCCAACGGUAUUCCCUGGGUAGGGGUAAAAUCCGCUGAUCCAGGGAGGACCACCAGUGGCGAAGGCGGUCCGCCAGAACGCGCCCGACGGUGAGGGAUGAAAGCUGGGGGAGCGAACCGGAUUAGAUACCCGGGUAGUCC
rnacentral:rRNA from 1 species